ACGUAGGCAGCGAGCGUUGUUCGGAGUUACUGGGCGUAAAGAGUGCGUAGGCGGUUUUCUAAGUUUGGUGUGAAAUCUCCCGGCUUAACUGGGAGGGUGCGCCGAAAACUGGAAGGCUUGAGUAUGGGAGAGGUAAGCGGAAUUCCUGGUGUAGCGGUGAAAUGCGUAGAUAUCAGGAGGAACACCUGCGGUGUAGACGGCUUACUGGACCAUAACUGACGCUGAGGCACGAAAGCGUGGGUAGCAAACAGGA
rnacentral:rRNA from 1 species